rnacentral:rRNA from 1 species
AGGACGACGCUGGCGGCGUGCUUCAGACAUGCAAGUCGAGCGGGCGGAGGUCGAACCGCAAGGGAGGCUGAAGCUAGCGGCGAACGGGUGAGUAACACGUGGGUAAUCUACCCGGAAGACUGGGAUAACGGCCCGAAAGGGCCGCUAAUACCGGAUAAUAUCGCGGUCUCGCAUGAGGCUGCGAAGAAAGGCGAAAGCCACUUUCGGAUGAGCCCGCGACCCAUCAGCUAGUUGGUGAGGUAACGGCUCACCAAGGCGACGACGGGUAGCCGGUCUGAGAGGAUGGUCGGCCACACUGGGACUGAGAUACGGCCCAGACUCCUACGGGAGGCAGCAGUCGGGAAUAUUGGGCAAUGGGCGAAAGCCUGACCCAGCGACGCCGCGUGAGGGAAGAAGGCCUUCGGGUCGUAAACCUCUGUCAUCGGGGACGAAGGAAGUGACGGUACCCGAGGAGGAAGCCCCUGCUAACUACGUG